AUAUUGGACAAUGGGGCCAACCCUGAUCCAGCCAUGCCGCGUGGUGGAGGAGGGCCUUCGGAUUUUAAAGCACUUUAGUUUGGGGGGAAGGCCUUUAGUUUAAUACCCUGAAUUUUUGCCUUAACAAACAAAAUAAGCACGGUCUAACUCUUUCCCGGCAGCCGCGGUAAUACAGAGGGUGCAAGCGUUAAUCGGAAUUACUGGGCGUAAAGCGCGCGUAGGUGGUUUGUUAAGUUGGAAGUGAAAGCCCCGGGCUCAACCUGGGAACUGCUUUCAAAACUGGCAAGCUAGAGUACGGUAGAGGGUAGUGGAAUUUCCUGUGUAGCGGUGAAAUGCGUAGAUAUAGGAAGGAACACCAGUGGCGAAGGCGACCACCUGGGCUAAUACUGACACUGAGGUGCGAAAGCGUGGGGAGCAAAC
rnacentral:rRNA from 1 species